UAUUAGAUUUCUACAAAUGUAAUUGCAGUUUUUUCCAUUACUUUGAAUGGUAAAAACUGCAAUUACUUUUACAUCAACCUAAUACUUU
ensembl:miRNA